rnacentral:rRNA from 1 species
UACGUAGGGUCCAAGCGUUAUCCGGAAUUACUGGGCGUAAAGCGUGCGCAGGCGGCUUUGCAAGACAGAUGUGAAAUCCCCGGGCUUAACCUGGGAACUGCAUUUGUGACUGCAUGGCUGGAGUGCGGCAGAGGGGGAUGGAAUUCCGCGUGUAGCGGUGGAAUGCGCAGAUAUCAGGAGGAACACCAAUGGCGAAGGCAGAUCUCUGGGCCGUAACUGACGCUGAGGCACGAAAGCGUGGGUAGCAAACAGG